CAGAAAAGCUGGAGGAAGUGUCGGAGGAGAGCGAAGUCUCGGUGUCCCUGCUUAGACUGCUCCCCCCGCGACCCGGCCCCGGAUAAGCAGUAGAAAAUGGAUGGAUGAAUGGAUAAAAUGGAGAAAAUGGCUCGUGAAUUCCAGAAUGGUGUUGGCAAGAAGCUACACGAGGAGCUUGUGGCUCUGGACAAAAUGAACAAGCACACCAGCUAUAUUUCAGGUAAGAAGGUUCAAGCUACUGGCAGUACGGGCAGACCGUAGCUACUUACGAGUCGUGCAGUACGGCAGCUUUCAAACAUGGCCGCACAGAGACCAUCCGGCCUGCCAGUAUACACACAAAGCACUGUGCCCAAGCCUUUGUUCAACAGCCUGGUCAGCAGAGUGUGGAGCAGCUCACAGGUCUACUGCAUGCCUGCUCCAAAUAUCAUGGGCAGCUCACAAAGGAGGCAGCCAUGGGACAAGGUUUUGACUGGCAUCUUUUUGCCUUACGCAAAUUCUAAAGGAAUGCCUAUGCCAAGUCACUCACUAGCACAGCUGUCAAUUUAGGUGGCUUUGCCCCAGUAGUCCCAGACGGUUUUGGAGUGGGCUACGGUGUCCAUAAAGACAGGAUCAGUUGCAAUGUUUCCAGCUACCCUGCCAGGAACGUCCACAAAUUUCUCAGAUGUGUUCACAAGUCUCUGGAGGACAUUUUUACUGUUCUUGAAGGAAAGCCAAUUAAAUCCAGCUAAUCUAAAUACUAAUGUGCUUCAGGGGAAUGAGAAUGGGUUUUGAGGAAUCAUUUAAAGGUUAAUGUUUAUAUUAACAAUUCUUUGUCUGCAGUUGUUUGAGUAGAUCAGAUCUUUUCAGAAAUCUGAUCAGAAAUUUAUACACUUUAAAUUGGUAAGUACUUUAAGUUCACAUUAUUUAAAAAUAUUGCUAAUUUAAAAGUGAAAUCAAUGAUUUGGUUCGAAUACCUCAAAAUGUGUCUUGGUGGAGAUUAGGUUAAUUGUCAAUAUUUUACCCCACCUGGAGUAAAAUAAGUUAAAGUUAAAUAAAAAAAAAAAAGUUAACUUUCAGCUGCUACUUUUGCUUUAGCAAGAGCAUUGAGAACCUGUUUAACUGAGCAAGAUAUUUGUGCAUUUAAAGUAGUGACAUUUUUUCAUCUUUUCAUAAAACACUUGAUUCAUACUAUUGAAAUAGACAACGUUUUAUUUAAAAAAGAAAAACAGCAGACAAGCCAGAAGUUACUGUACAAAAUGCUGAAAGAGAAACAAACUAAAUGAACAGUGUGUAGAAACUGUCGAAAUUAGAUCGGCUUGAUUUUAAAGUGGAGGCCGAUGAGACUGAAGACGAGACACUUGAGAUCCUGUACCAGGUAGUAGAACACACGGAGGCCUUCUGGAUCCCUGAGAGGGAAGACAAUGAUGAUUAAAUUAGUACUGCAUAAUGUUUAGUUCAUUCAAAUAAUUAGGAAAACUCGAAGGCUAAAAGUUUACAUGGGUCUUCAAGUUUCCAAGGUGUUACUCAUGUAACCCUUCAAUCACAUUCAAAUCUAUAGACAUGGUCUUUCAUGUAGUAAUUCAUUUCAUUGUGUAUGAUCCCACUUAAUUUAUUAACAGUGAUGUGUAUGCGUAGUUAAUUAAUGUGCCAGGAUUUGAAUCCAAAAAUCUUUUUUGCAUGCUUAUGCCCCAUUUUGUGCAUUAUGAAGUAAGCUGUUUCCUUUUAAUGUAUGUAUGUAUGUAGCUGCAGCUUAGGCAUUCCCAGUUUACAUGAAAAGCAACACCAUUCACACCGGGUGUCACUGUGCUCAGUUCAACCAUUCAGUUCUGUCUCAAUUUUUUUUUUUUAAAUAUAAGCAUGCAUAUAUCUACAGACUAUUAUAAACAAACAUGCUUUGUCACAAGGAUAUUAGUGUGAUCCCAAAGUUCAUUCAGGUUAAUGCUUGAACUGGUGCUUCUAUAUUAAGUCUAUGUGCUGAUAUAAUACUUCUGAAAAAGAUGUGCAUUAAAUUCUGUAUUUCAUUUCUUUUCUUUAUAUAGCAUCUGCCAAACAAACUUAUGUGCCACCACUGUCAGGGGAGAAUGUUAAAUAGUUUUAAUUGUGGGAAAAUCCUACUUGAUUAAGCUACUUUGAAUACAAAUUCUAGCAGUUAACCAAAUACCAACACAUUAACUCCUAUGGAUGCAGAAGUUAUUGUGGGCUCAGACAAUAGAAGAUAUAUGGAGUAUUAUAUGAGUAUUACUAAAGAUUUUUUUUUAGCAAAAAAUAUAUUUUAUGUUCAGUAGAAUUGUUCAUCUCAAAUUGUUGAGAUGUGUUAACUGAAGUGUCUGCAGUUACCAACAGUGGUACGCUAUACUCACUUAGACUGGUUGACAUCAAUCAGAGACCCAAUUUUGGAGGUUGUGAAUGAAAUAUGUUCGUCACCGAUGACAAUCUCCAGUUCCUAAAUGA